UAAUCUGUUUACUCGUUAUGUAUGAUAGGUAUCUUAUUAAUUAUCAUACAAUGUUUAAAAUAGAUUGGCAUUAAUAGAAUUUCAUGUUUUCCUCUAAAGUCAGACCAGCCAACUGAGGUCUGAACCCUUGUUCUUCAAGGACUGACUAUCAUGCUGGGAAAUGAAGACUCUUCUUUCUUCAAGUCAUGUUUAGUGUCUGAUCAUUGCAACACUAUCCUUGAUGUGCCAGUGGGGAUUUUAUUCGAGCACACUGAUCUUCAGCCCCCAAACUCCUUGCAUUUGAAUAAUUUCUGAAGGCCAAGUGGUGAUGGACAAAAUGCAGGACCUCCCACAGGCAAUCUUCUGUUCGGUUUGAUUUAUGCACUAGACCUGAAUUACCCAAAAUCACUCGCCAACACAUUUGAUUUCAUCCAGCGUGUACUAAUGUGAAUGGGAUAGAAUGCUCUCAAGCCUAGAGUUCAGUCUCUAGCAAACCAGUUUUUUUGCUUAAGAAACGUCACUGUGAUACUUUAACACCACCCUUUGUAUUGGCUUUUUUCCACCAUUGAUUUACUCCAUUAUCCAUUUAUGAAAAAUAAAAAGUAUGUUUAAAUAGUUAAAUGCACAGAGAAUUUGGGAUAUUGUUACCAUUGUUACACCUCUGUAGUGUGGUUGUGACCCGGUAAUUAUCUACAUUACAGUAUAGUCUCAGUAUGUAUUAUUUUAGUUUGCCGUGUUUGCACAAAGCUUAAAUGGUGAACUUUAGUAAGACUGUAUGUUAAGCCUACAUGUUCAGUACAUUAACAAUUGUGAGACUUAAAAAGUGUAAUUAAGUGCACAGAGUUGUACAAGUGAUGUAAGUGCACUAGUAAAUGUUGAACAUUUUUACUGUUACCACCUUUACAGUGUGGUUCUGUACCAGUAAUAUUUCCACUACAGUUUGUACUGUAAUACUGUGAAACUUUGGUGAAAGACACCAAAGUAUGUUUUAUUUUAGUUUGCUAUGUUUGCACAAAGCUUAAACGGUCAAAUCUAAUUAGGUUUACACUAACAUAAUUGUGAUACUGGAAUAAGGUAUAUAUGUGCAUAGAGUUGUAUUAUUGAUUUACUACACUAGUUAAUUUUGUUACCACAUUUACAGUGUGGCUGUGACCCAUUUCCAUUACAGUAUAGGGUUUACUGUAUUUUCAUAAGCUUAAAUGGUGAACUUUAGUAAGACUGUAUGUUAAGCCUACAUGUUCAGUACAUUAACAAUUGUGAGACUUAAAAAGUGUAAUUAAGUGCACAGAGUUGUACAAGUGAUGUAAGUGCACUAGUAAAUGUUGAACAUUUUUACUGUUACCACCUUUACAGUGUGGUUCUGUACCAGUAAUAUUUCCACUACAGUUUGUACUGUAAUACUGUGAAACUUUGGUGAAAGACACCAAAGUAUGUUUUAUUUUAGUUUGCUAUGUUUGCACAAAGCUUAAACGGUCAAAUCUAAUUAGGUUUACACUAACAUAAUUGUGAUACUGGAAUAAGGUAUAUAUGUGCAUAGAGUUGUAUUAUUGAUUUACUACACUAGUUAAUUUUGUUACCACAUUUACAGUGUGGCUGUGACCCAUUUCCAUUACAGUAUAGGGUUUACUGUAUUUUCAUUAAUAUUGUGACAUUUUGUCAAUAAAAAGUCAAAGAUUAAAUAUGCUGUUCAUUGUUUUACUUCAGUUUUGUGUGCACAAAGUGUGCAGGCAAAAAUAAGAACAUCAACAAUUAGUUACAUUUCCAUGUUGAGUUAACUUAAUUAUAUAAGUACACUUGAAAUUUAUACCAAGUUAAGUGAACAUAAUCGUUUAAGUACAUUAAAUAAGCACCAAGUUUGGUGAACUGAGCGAUUUAAGUAUAGUCUACAAAACUGCCAAGUUAAAUAAACUUAAAUAUGUAAGUUUUGGGAGACUCCAUUACUCAAUUAAAUUGAGACAACGAGUUUACUCAAUCAAUUUAGUUCAGUCAACUUAUUAGGGUUUUUAGUGUACAGUUCUGCUCCUCUAAAGAAGCUGGAAGUAUCUAGUCCUCUACAUAUGCAUAGUAUGAAUGCUUAUAAGAUAAAACAAAGAAUUUUAUUUCAUUUUGAGGAAUUAUACCGUAAUUUGAAUUGCAGACUAUACAUUCAUUAUACUGUUAAUGUUUAAAAAUAUGUAUUUGCACAGUUUCGUUUAUAUGUGCUAUAUGUGUUUUUUAAAAAUGUUUUUGUGCUAAUGUGUUGUUGUUGUUUAUUAGGUAAGGACUAUGAGUGUCUGUGGCUUUAAAUGACCUCAUAGAUUCCUGGUACUUGACAAAAUGCAAAUACGUCAAGGUUAUUAAUUUGUGGCCUGGAAUUCCAGUAGUGUAAGAUGCCAUGUACAGUCACCCCUCUGUAAACUACUGUACUGCAUUGUACAAAUUCCUUUGACGAACAUGAUGAUGGUGAUUGAAUUGAAAAAGGCCCUCAAACAAUUGUGGCACAGAUGCAAACAAUUGUGGAUGGCAGACGACAGGAUGUUAGUGUAGACACUGCCAACAUGCUUCCUCAAACAACACAUGCAUGCAGACACACGGACACUGACUGCCAAAAAAUGAGAUGAAGAAAAUUAUUUUAUUAUUUAAGUUGUAUUUUUU
rnacentral:lncRNA from 1 species